UCCUCUUCUCAGUCUCUUUGUGAUUGCUGAACCAUUAGAGAUCAGAUGUGACUUCUCACUGAGAAAUCAAGCCCCGUCGCAGAGGGACUUCAUGAGUCAGCCAGCCACGGUGUCACCUACUGAGUGGUUUUCCCUUUGUGUACAGUGUGAAAAUGUCCAUGGAGAACGGAGGGAUCCAGAUUCCAGGGACAGAGAUUCACUGAAUGGAUGCAUCAUCACUUUUGUGCAGACACACUUUCCCAUCCGAAAGUGAGGGGCUUGGGGGGUUACUACAAGGAAUUUGAGGACAUACUCUUCCUUGACCUACAAAAUCAAAUACUUAAGAUUUCUCUGUAAGUUAACCCAGGAACCAGAGACAACUCGGUAUUGACAAAGGGUGGGUCAGCGAGAUACACAUAAGAGGAGUUCCAUAAGGAGCCUGCAGGGGUUAGAAAAGGGCAUCCGGGUCCCUGGAACUGGAAUUGCAGGCAUUGUAGAUGCUGGGAACAGAACCUGGGUCCUCUGGAAAAGCAGCAAGUGCUCCUAACCCCUGAUUCAUCUCUCCAGGCCCUAUGUUAUUUGUAUAUAUCAUCAGCACUGAAUAUCCAUGGCUUCUGUAUCCGUUGACACAACCAACCAAGGAUACAAAAUAUCUGGAAAGAAAAUUGCAUCUUCAUUGAACACAGAAUUUUCUUGAUAUUAAAUUCUCUAAGCAAGCACGUACCAACUAU